rnacentral:tRNA from 1 species
CGGGGUGUAGCUCAGCCUGGUUAGAGCGCUGCCUUCGGGAGGCAGAGGCCGGUGGUUCGAAUCCACUCACCCCGACCA